UGUGGGAGGCUGCUGCGGGACUCGGCCCAGCUUGGCUGCGGCUGUCGUUCCCUCUUCUCCCCCGACGAGCCGCGGGCUCGUGUGCGCACCUGCAGUGGGGCUAGCCAGCGCCUGCAAACGAAACGGGGGGUGGGAGGGGCGGACUCGGGAGCCCGAGCUCCCCCCCCCCCGCGCGCAACACACACACACAUUUUGUGUCUGGGUCCUUCACAGUGAACAAAUGCGAAGCGUCAAACGAUGGACUCUAGGCAAGAGCCCUUGUCUGCGGCUGAAGAGAUUUACCUCCUCCAUGCCUGCCCAUCCUGAAGCUGGUUGAGGCGCUUUCAGACUGCACACAGGACUGCAGUUCACAAAUGUACAAAAGCAUCUCUUACUGUAGACCCAAGAUGCUUCCCGGUUCUUCAUCACGAUUUUCUUGGCAUGGAAGAAGGAAAGAGGAAUCUUCAGUUCCUUGAUAAUGAGGUGGCUUCCUUUACGAAAGUGUCCCUCUGAUGCUUAUUGGAAUCGACCAUGAACAUCCAAUCUAGACAUGAAGUAGAGACAACAAGGGCCAGUUUUCAGAUCCUGUAAUUUUUUAAAAAAUGGAACAUGGUUUUGCUGACACAUUUAUUGCAUAUUGAUCAGCAGAUUGCAAUUUAACAGAAAUGCUAUUAAUUUUGAAAGUUAACUAUGGCAGAAUAGAUCUAUAUACAAAUAUGGAGCUAUCAUGUCUGAGAUGUGAUUAAUUCCUUUUGUUUAUGGGUCUGACAGCUAUAUUAAUAUACUUUAUGUUCUUCGGGACACAGUACUCCAUACAGCUAGGAACAAACAUUAUUUAUUUAUUUAUGUAUUCUUUUGUUUAAUCCAAUUGUAGUGCAAACUUUAAAGAAUUUGCAAGCACAGGAUCACAUGGGACAGACCAGUUCUAUGUGACUCAGCAGUUGUCAUUUUAAUGUUCAGGUGGUGCAGUUAUAUCAUGGGUAGUACACUUUUCUGAGUAAUAUACUAUGCAAGACCCAUCUGUCGACCACACCUGUGUGUGUGUCUGUCUUUUUCAUGAAUACUAGAACAUUUUCUCUGAGCCUUCUACAGAUUUUGUAAAAAGGCAAGCCUGUGCUCCUUAACCCUUGUUCAUCAGCAGGUAGUUGUCACAAUUUGUAGCCAUCUGUACAUUUCACUUGAGCUUUCCCACUUUCUCACAAGGCAUUUGUGCAGACCUAGUGGAUAAAGCAGAAUCUUCCAAAGAAAUUAAAGCUGCAAUGCCCCACUGAAAUAACUAAUAUAUACAAGAAUGUUGCUCUUUGAUGCCCAAAAUGCCAGAGAUUGUAUUUAAAGAAACCUGAGUUGUUCUAUCCUAGUAUGCAUAUGAGUAUAUAUGUUGUUAUUUUGCAUAUCCGUACUCUAUAUGUGCAGAUUAUUCUAAAGCUAUUUGAUAUUUUGAAAUAAGUUGUAAUUGUAUAGCAAGACUUGGUUCAGGGGUUAGGAUUGAAUAGCCAGAUCAGAGAAGGGCAGUUGAUUAUACCGGCACAGUUAUGCCUGUAUAGGUAAGAAGGAGAGUAGUUUCAACAUUCCACCAUUUUAAGCCCUGAACAUUCUAUUGCUUAUAAAAUCGAAACCAUUUCUCUGAUGUGCCUGGUCAUCAGCACACAUUCACUAGGUGACAAGAGACAGCUCCCCUGCAAAUCUGGUGAAGAUCCAUUGGAAAAAUGACUUAGACAGAACAGUUUAUGGUUUUUCUAUUUUGAACAGGAGUUUAAAGGGUUGGUGACAUUUUUUCAGACCAAAGCAGUGGUAUCUAAAUUAUUUUGUCAUCAAUUUGCAUUGUUUCAGUCUUUAGACUGCAUGCCAGAAAAGUGCCUAUCAUUCAUAUAUCCCUCUGGGACCCAAUCGAUGGUUAUUUCACAACUGAACCUCAAAGUUGUGUUUUAAGAGGCAGAAAAAUGCAUCUCUAGUGCUAAAAGAGUCUGUGCAGUAGCCAGUGUGAGGUUGCAGUGCCCACAGUGCUGCCCACAAUAAACAUGAACUCAGACAGGAACUCACCCUGUCUGAGUUCCUGGACACAGCCGUUGUUUCCCUCUGUGUCCUCUUCUCCCUCUCCUUCCCCAUGCUCUGUGUUGGAGCGGGGAUGCGCUUGGUCUGGGAUGGGAAGGGCUCCUCCACCUGGGGAAUCCCUUUCCAGUCCAGCCCAACCACAUGCGUUUGCUCCCCGCCUCCAGCAGCGCCCAGGUGCUCUGUGCAGCCACCAGUGUUGGAGAUGGAGAGCAGACUGGUGUGGUUGGACCGGGAUGGGAAAGACUCUUCCAACAAGAGAAACCCUUCCUAGUCUGUCCCAAACAUGUGCGUUUGCUCCCUGCCUCCAACAGUGUGUGUGUGUGUGUGUGUGUGUGUGAAUGAAUGGCUGCAAUGUAUGUGGUGUGUGUGUGUGUGUGUGUGUGUGUGUGAAUGGAUGCAGUGUGUGUGUGUAUGGAUGCAGUGUGUGUGUGUGAAUGGCUGUAAUGUGUGUGCGUGCGUGUGAAGGGCUGCAGUGUGUGUAGAGAGGGCUGCAGUGUGUGUAUGUGGCUGCAGUGUGUGUAUGUGUGUGUGGAUGGCUACUCUCUCUGUCUGAAUGGCUAUUUUGUCUCUGUGUGUGAAUGGCUACAUUGUCUGUGUAUGUGUGUGGGUGGCUGCUGUGUGUGUAUGUAUGUGGUUGCCGUGUGUGUGUAAAUAUGUGUGGAUGGCUGCUCUGUUUGUGUGUCUGUGUGAUAGAAUGGCUCCAUCACCUCUGUACAACUUCUUCACUAUUUUGAUGAUAAUACCAUCCCAAAGGAAAUUAAAUCAAGCAGGUGAACUGUGAGGUUUAUGGGAAAUUUCUGGGAAGAAAAUCUGUAGUUUUGGGCACGGUUGUUAUAUCAUUUGUUAUUUUUAAUUAUUGUGUGUGUGUGUUAGAGAAAUAAAAAAAUGAAGUACAGAUUUAAAGUGAACACAAAUUACCGCUUCUUAUGUGUCCUUAUUCACUGCUUUUAUAAUCAUGAGGUGGGAUCACACUGUCACUAUUAUUGAAUCUACUAACUUCAUUUAAUUGUGGUUUUUCAGGCAGUGGGGGGAGUGUGACUUUAUUUUAGUUGAAGGUUUUACAAAGUUUUCUGUGUCCAACAUCAGGGAGUUCUACCUUGUGGUUUGAGUAAG